AUUGGAACUUGGCAGUAGAACCCUUCUCUCCUGAUAACUGUUCUACGUUGGAACCCGGCAGUAGAACCCUUCACUUCCGGUUAGAACCUGGCAGCAAAACUCUUCACUUCCGGCAACUACGUCGGAACCUGCCGGUAGAACCCUUCACUUGAUGUAACUACGUUGGAACUUAGCAGUAAACCCUUCACUUCCGGUAACUACAUUGGAACUUAGCAGUAGAAUCCUUUCUGGUUACUGUCCUACGUUAGUAUCCGGCAAUAAAACCUUUCAUUUCCUGUAACUAGAUUGGGACCUGGCAGUAGAACCCUUCACUUCUGGCAACUACGUCGGAACCUGCCGGUAGAACCCUUCACUUGAUGUAACUACGUUGGAACCUGGCAGUGGCAACUAUGUCGGAACCUGGCAGUAGAACCCUUCACUUCCUGUAUUUAUGUUGGAACCUGGCAGUAGAACCCUUCACUUCCUGUAUUUAUGUUGGAACCUGGCAGUAAACCCUUCACUUCCGAUUGGAACCUGGCAGCAGGACCCUUCACUUCCGGCAACUACGUCGGAACCUGGCAGCAGAACCCUUAACUUCCGGU
rnacentral:lncRNA from 1 species